AUCGCUUCUCUGCCUUUUGGCUAAGAUCAAGUGUAGUAUCUGUUCUUAUCAGUUUAAUAUCUGAUACGUCCCCUAUUUGGGGACCAUAUAUUAAAUGGAUUUUUGGAACAGGGAGAUGGAAGAAGAGCUUGCUCUGUCCACUCCACACAUUGACCUGGUAUUGCAGUAGCUCCAGGACCGGUGCACCAAAA